rnacentral:rRNA from 1 species
AGCAGCCGCGGUAAUUCCAGCUCCAAUAGCGUAUAUUAAAGUUGUUGCAGUUAAAAGCUCGUAGUUGAAUUUCGGGAUUGACGUGAUGGUCGUGCCUUAAGGGGUAUGAACUGUCGCAGUUGAUUUCUCACCUUCUGGAGAAGCAUGAUGUCCUUAAUUGGGUGUCAUGUGGAACCAGGACCUUUACCUUGAAAAAUUAGAGUGUUUAAAGCAGGCAUUUUGCUCGAAUACAUUAGCAUGGAAUAAUAGAAUAGGACGGCAUGGUUCUACUUUGUUGGUUUCUAGGAUCACCGUAAUGAUUAAUAAGGAUAGUUGGGGGCAUUAGUAUUCAAUUGUCAGAGGUGAAAUUCUUGGAUUUAUUGAAGACUAACUACUGCGAAAGCAUUUGCCAAGGAUGUUUCAUUAAUCAAGAACGAAAGUUAGGGAUCGAAGACGAUCAGAUACCGUCGUAGUCUUAACCAUAAACUAUAG